rnacentral:rRNA from 1 species
AACGUAGGGGGCAAGCGUUGCCCGGAUUCACUGGGUUUAAAGGGUGCGUAGGCGGGCAGGUAAGUCAGUGGUGAAAUCUCCGAGCUUAACUUGGAAACUGCCAUUGAUACUAUUUGUCUUGAAUAUUGUGGAGGUAAGCGGAAUAUGUCAUGUAGCGGUGAAAUGCUUAGAUAUGACAUAGAACACCAAUUGCGAAGGCAGCUUACUACACAAUGAUUGACGCUGAGGCACGAAAGCGUGGGGAUCAAACAGG